rnacentral:rRNA from 1 species
CGUAACCUACGGGACGCAGCAGUAGGGAAUUUUCGUCAAUGGGCGCAAGCCUGAACGAGCAAUGCCGCGUGAACGAGGAAGGUCUUCGGAUCGUAAAAUUCUGUUGAAGGGGAAAAAGAGCGGAGAGAGGAAAUGAACUCCGAUUGAUAUUACCCUUCGAGGAAGUCACGGCUAACUACGUGCCAGCAGCCGCGGUAAUACGUAGGUGGCGAGCGUUAUCCGGAAUGAUUGGGCGUAAAGGGUGCGUAGGCGGCCUGCUAAGUCUGGAGUGAAAGGUACCGGCUCAACCGGUACAGGCUCUGGAA